AGGAAAGAAUCCUGAAAAAUGAUGAUCCUUACAAUACACAUUCUGUUUUUCAAUAAAAGAAAUUAUUUCCAAACAAUCAAAGGUUCCACCUGCACUUAAGGGAGUGGAGGUUCAUACAAGGGUAUACAUCUGAAGUCUCUUUCUGUCCAUUCCCUGCCUCUGCUGAACAAGCUACCUGUACCUGUUGAAGUCCUUGCAUUAAGCAUACGAACAUUCAGGUUUUUCAGUUCAGAGCAGUAUCUACUCACACAUUUUACCUAUAAAAUGAUUACCAACGAACACAUAUU
rnacentral:lncRNA from 1 species